CUACAAUCAAAUUAAUCAAGCCAC
rnacentral:siRNA from 1 species